rnacentral:rRNA from 2 species
AUUAUUAUUUAAUGGCCGCGGUAUUUUGACCGUGCGAAGGUAGCAUGAUUAUUAGCCCAUUAAUUAUGGGAUUGUAUGAAUGGUUUGACGAGAUAUUGACUGUCUCAUAUUAAUUUAUUUAUAAUUUAAUUUUUUAGUUAAAAAGCUUAAAUAUUUUUAUAGGACGAGAAGACCCUAUAGAUCUUUAUUUUUAUUUUUUAUAUUUUUUUUUGUUUAUUUUUAAAUAUUUUUAUAUAUUAUUUUGUUGGGGUGAUUUUGAGAUAUAAUUAACUCUCUUUUUUUUUUUCAUUUAUUUUUGUUUUUUUGAUCUUUUACUAUUACUUAUAAAAGUAAAAUACCUUAGGGAUAACAGCGUAAUUUCCUUUAAAAGUUCAUAUUGACNAUGGAGUUUGCGACCNCGAUGUUGAAUUAAAAUUAUUGUUAGGUGAANAGGCUUAAUUAUUAAGUCUGUUCGACUUUUAAUUUCUUACAUGAUCUGAGUUCAAA